rnacentral:rRNA from 1 species
UACGGGGGGGCAAGCGUUGUUCGGAAUUACUGGCGUAAAGGGCUCGUAGGUGGCCAACUAAGUCAGACGUGAAAUCCCUCGGCUUAACCGGGGAACUGCGUCUGAUACUGGAUGGCUUGAGUUCGGGAGAGGGAUGCGGAAUUCCAGGUGUAGCGGUGAAAUGCGUAGAUAUCUGGAGGAACACCGGUGGCGAAGGCGGCAUCCUGGACCGACACUGACACUGAGGAGCGAAAGCCAGGGGAGCAAACGGG